UACGGAGGGGGCUAGCGUUGUUCGGAAUUACUGGGCGUAAAGCGCACGUAGGCGGCUUUGCAAGUCAGAGGUGAAAGCCCGGGGCUCAACCCCGGAAUAGCCUUUGAGACUGCAUCGCUAGAAUUGUGGAGAGGUAAGUGGAAUUCCGAGUGUAGAGGUGAAAUUCGUAGAUAUUCGGAAGAACACCAGUGGCGAAGGCGGCUCACUGGCCCGAUACUGACGCUGAGGCACGAAAGCGUGGGGAGCAAACAGG
rnacentral:rRNA from 1 species